rnacentral:lncRNA from 1 species
CCACUCAGAAAACCGCCCCCUGUAUGAGGAUCCAUUUUCCCUCCUAUAAAAAUCUCUCCACUCUCAUUCCUUCCCUACCAACAAUCUCACUCCUAUUCAAUUUCCUUCUAAAAUUUUCCUCUCUAAUAUCAUCAGACUCUCUUUUUCCUGAAAAUUAUCAGCUCUCUUUGGAAGGAUUAUAGUAUUCCAAAGGAAACAUCCUAUGGACACCAAGAUUGGAUCGCUUGAGACCUGCAAACCCACCUGCAACGACAUCGGAAGCGGACCAAACGGUGACGUCUCCACCAUCCAGAACUCCGUCACAUCAACACUCAUCAAGGAUUACGAGGCAACCCUCGGCCGCCACCUCGCUCGCCGCCUUGUCCAAAUCGGUGUCACCG